CCAAAAGCACACUAUUUGGAGCUUCCGUUUUGGCAUUCCAGUUCUGAGAAAAAGUCUUAGCACGUUUUUUGGUAAAAAAGAAUCCACAUCAUGUCUGAACGUUGGUACGACUGUGGAAAGGAGCCGGAGGAAAUCAAAGGAGUUGUGAUGAGAAACGGCGGGCUGAUGUAUAUUAUGAAGUUCAAGGGCCAGGAAGAGACAGAGCUGGUUCUGUCGACCGAGGUCAAAAAGCGGCUACCUCAGAUGAUAAUCAAGUUUUACGAGAAUCGCGUGGAUAUGUCCGCCUGGAUUGGCAUCAAGCACUGGGAGAGGUGUCUCCACAGCUCUACUGGAUAAUUAAAUUCAAUUCCAUACCACUCGAAA